rnacentral:rRNA from 1 species
CGGCGGACGGGUGAGUAACGCGUGGGUAACCUACCCUGUACACACGGAUAACAUACCGAAAGGUAUGCUAAUACGGGAUAAUAUAUUUGAGAGGCAUCUCUUAAAUAUCAAAGGUGAGCCAGUACAGGAUGGACCCGCGUCUGAUUAGCUAGUUGGUAAGGUAACGGCUUACCAAGGCGACGAUCAGUAGCCGACCUGAGAGGGUGAUCGGCCACAUUGGAACUGAGACACGGUCCAA